rnacentral:misc_RNA from 1 species
GAACUGCGAUAAGUAAUGUGAAUUGCAGAAUUCAGUGAAUCAUCGAGUCUUUGAACGCACAUUGCGCCCCCUGGCAUUCCGGGGGGCAUGCCUGUCCGAGCGUCAUUGCUGCCCUUCAAGCCCGGCUUGUGUGUUGGGUCGUCGUCCCUUCCGGGGGACGGGCCCGAAAGGCAGCGGCGGCACCGCGUCCGGUCCUCGAGCGUAUGGGGCUUUGUCACCCGCUCGAUAAGGACCGGCCGGGCGCCAGCCGGCGUCUCCAACCUUUUUUUCUCAGGUUGACCUCGGAUCAGGUAGGACUACCCGCUGAACUUAAGC